rnacentral:rRNA from 1 species
CAUCAGCUUUCCGAUGUCAUCGAAUGUCACGCCAUCUGUUCCCGGAGUUUUGCUUCCGUCAUUUGACUUGAUAUUUCUAUAUGCCAGCAGGAUAUUUUCACGUUUUAAGAUGAUGCUCAUCAAAUUUGUGAAAGUCUCAUUUUUACUGCUUUUCGCAUACAGACCGUCAAACACUUCCUGCAUUCCGUAAUACUCAGCAUGGCGCAGUCCGCUCAUACAUAAUGAUUUUUCGGCUUUCUCUUUUGGCAUAAGGCAUCACUCCCUUCUUUUGAAUUGAGUGACUUUUUUGUCCUACUCGAAUCCUUACUGCGAUUGAAUGAUUGUUUCAUAUAUGACUAAUGACUUGAGGCCAUCCCUCCGAAUCCUUCUUUUUCGCGGGAUUCAUCGUAAGUCCGACCUCUGCUUUUCAGCACCGGUUCGGCAGCUUAUUUUCUUCGUCUGCCUGCUUUACCACUAUGGUAAAGCCCGAUACCUUUCCUUGUUCCGAUAAUUCUAUCUGUGCAUAUACCCUUAGGUCUCCGCUUUAGUCCUGUCAGCUUGGAUGCGCCUUUAACACAUCAUACAACCGGUCAAAGCCCCUUAUGAGGGUGAUGACGUGCUUUUUGUAGAACGAGCCAACGAGUUACGGUAUGUAGCAAGGUUAAGUACUUAAGGUACGGAGCCGAAGGGAAACCGAGUCUUAAUAGGGCGACUAGUUGCAUGCCGUAGACCCGAAACCGGGUGACCUAUCCAUGGCCAGGUUGAAGCGAGGGUAAAACUUCGUGGAGGACCGAACCACGUUGCUGUUGAAAAAGCAUGGGAUGAGCUGUGGAUAGCGGAGAAAUUCCAAUCGAACUCGGAGAUAGCUGGUUCUCCCCGAAAUAGCUUUAGGGCUAGCGUCGGAUAUGUGUAGUGGAGGUAGAGCACUGAAUGGGCUAGGGGGCAUAUCGCUUACCGAACCUUAUCAAACUCCGAAUGCCAUAUACAUUUAGUCCGGCAGUCAGACUACGAAUGAUAAGAUCCGUGGUCAAAAGGGAAACAGCCCAGAUCGUCAGCUAAGGUCCCAAAGUGUAAGUUAAGUGGAAAAGGAUGUGGGAUUUCUAAGACAACUAGGAUGUUGGCUUAGAAGCAGCCACUCAUUUAAAGAGUGCGUAAUAGCUCACUAGUCGAGAGAUCCUGCGCCGAAAAUGUCCGGGGCUCAAACUUACCACCGAAGCUACGGGCUUGCGUAAGCAAGCGGUAGGGGAGCGUCGUAAUCGGGCUGAAGUCGUACCGUAAGGAGCGGUGGACUGAUUACGAGUGAGAAUGUUGGCAUUAGUAGCGAGAUGUAGGUGAGAAUCCUACAGGCCGAAUAUCUAAGGUUUCCUCAGGAAGGCUCGUCCGCUGAGGGUUAGUCGGGACCUAAGCCGAGGCCGAAAGGCGUAGGCGAUGGACAAUCGGUUGAUAUUCCGAUACCACUACCAUCGUUAUUAUCGAGGGUGUGACGGAGAAGGAUAGUGUGUGCUAGCGAUUGGAAAUGCUAGUCUAAGCGUUUAGGGAGUUACGGUAGGCAAAUCCGCUGUAACAAUUCUGAGGCGUGAUGGGGAAGGCCAUAUAGGCCGAAGUACAUGAUUCCAUGCUUCCAAGAAAAGCAUCUAGAGAGAGAAGUAGUGCCCGUACCGCAAACCGACACAGGUAGAUGAGGAGAGAAUCCUAAGGCCGGCGGAAGAAUUGCAGUUAAGGAACUAGGCAAAUUGACCCCGUAAGUUCGCGAGAAGGGGUGCCUGCGAGAGCAGGCCGCAGAGAAUAGGCCCAAGCAACUGUUUAGCAAAAACACAGGUCUCUGCUAAAGCGUAAGCUGAUGUAUAGGGGCUGACGCCUGCCCGGUGCUGGAAGGUUAAGGGGAACACUUAGCGCAAGCGAAGGUGUGAACUUAAGCCCCAGUAAACGGCGGCCGUAACUAUAACGGUCCUAAGGUAGCGAAAUUCCUUGUCAGGUAAGUUCUGACCCGCACGAAUGGCGUAAUGACUUGGGCACUGUCUCAACUGCAAAUCCGGCGAAGUUGUAGUGCGAGUGAAGAUGCUCGCUACCCGCGAUUGGACGGAAAGACCCCGUAGAGCUUUACUGUAGCUUAGCAUUGAAUUCCGGUAUUGUCUGUACAGGAUAGGUGGGAGACUGGGAAACUAGGGCGUCAGCCUUAGUGGAGUCAACCUUGGGAUACCACCCUGACAGUACUGGGGUUCUAACAGGACGCCAUGAAUCUGGUGACUGGACAUUGUUAGGUGGGCAGUUUGACUGGGGCGGUCGCCUCCUAAAAAGUAACGGAGGCGCCCAAAGGUUCCCUCAGAACGGUCGGAAAUCGUUCGUAGAGUGCAAAGGCAGAAGGGAGCCUGACUGCGAGACAUACAAGUCGAGCAGGGACGAAAGUCGGGCUUAGUGAUCCGGUGGUACCUCGUGGGAGGGCCAUCGCUCAACGGAUAAAAGCUACCUCGGGGAUAACAGGCUGAUCUCCCCCAAGAGUCCACAUCGACGGGGAGGUUUGGCAC